rnacentral:rRNA from 1 species
UACGUAGGGCGCAAGCGUUGUCCGGAAUUAUUGGGCGUAAAGAGCUCGUAGGCGGCUUGUCGCGUCGAUUGUGAAAGCCCGGGGCUUAACUCCGGGUCUGCAGUCGAUACGGGGCAGGCUAGAGUGUGGUAGGGGGAGAUCGGAAUUCCUGGUGUAGCGGUGAAAUGCGCAGAUAUCAGGAGGAACACCGGUGGCGAAGGCGGAUCUCUGGGCCAUUACUGACGCUGAGGAGCGAAAGCGUGGGGAGCGAACAGG